GAAAGAUCUCCCAUGCUCAUGGAUUGGCAGGAUUAAUAUAGUAAAAAUGGCCAUUUUACCAAAAGCAAUCUACAGAUUCAAUGCAAUCCCCAUCAAAAUACCAAUCCAAUUCUUCAAAGAGUUAGACAGAACAAUUUGCAAAUUCAUCUGGAAUAACAAAAAACCCAGGAUAGCUAAAACUAUCCUCAACAAUAAAAGGACUUCAGGGGGAAUCACUAUCCCUGAACUCAAGCAGUAUUACAGAGCAAUAGUGAUAAAAACUGCAUGGUAUUGGUACAGAGACAGACAGAUAGACCAAUGGAAUAGAAUUGAAGACCCAGAAAUG
rnacentral:lncRNA from 1 species